rnacentral:rRNA from 1 species
GAUGAACGCUGGCGGCGUGCCUAACACAUGCAAGUCGAACGGAGAUUACGGACGGAAGUUUUCGGAUGGAAGACUGUAAUUCUUAGUGGCGGACGGGUGAGUAACGCGUGGGCAACCUGCCCUAUACAGGGGGAUAGCAGCUGGAAACGGCUGGUAAGACCGCAUAAGUCGGCGAGACCGCAUGGUUUUGCCGGGAAAUGAGCAAUCAGGUAUAGGAUGGGCCCGCGUCCGAUUAGCCAGUUGGCAGGGUAAAAGCCUACCAAAGCAACGAUCGGUAGCCGGACUGAGAGGUCGGACGGCCACAUUGGGACUGAGACACGGCCCAAACUCCUACGGGAGGCAGCAGUGGGGGAUAUUGCACAAUGGAGGAAACUCAGAUGCAGCGACGCCGCGUGAGUGAAGAAGUAUUUCGGUAUGUAAAGCUCUAUCAGCAGGGAAGAUGAUGACGGUACCUGACUAAGAAGCCCCGGCUAACUACGUG